AAUAUUGGACAAUGGUCGAAAGCCUGAUCCAGCCAUGCCGCUUGUUUGAAGAAGGUCUUCGGAUUNUCAAGCACUUUAAGUUGGGGNGAAGGGUUGUAGGUUAAUACCCUGCAAUUUUGACGUUACCAACAGAAUAAGCGCCGGCUAACUUUGUGCCAGCAGCCGCGGUAAUACGAAGGGUGCAAGCGUUAAUCGGAAUUACUUGGCGUAACGCGCGCGUAGGUGGUUCGUUAAGUUGGAAGUGAAAGCCCCGGGCUUAACCUGGGAAUUGCUUUCAAAACUGACGAGCUAGAGUACGGUAGAGGGUAGUGGAAUUUCCUGUGUAGCGGUGAAAUGCGUAGAUAUAGGAAGGAACACCAGUGGCGAAGGCGACCACCUGGGCUAAUACUGACACUGAGGUGCGAAAGCGUGGGGAGCAAACAGG
rnacentral:rRNA from 1 species